rnacentral:rRNA from 1 species
AACGUAGGUGGCAAGCGUUAUCCGGAUUUACUGGGCGUAAAGCGUGUGCAGGCGGGUGGGCAAGUGGGGUAUGAAAUCGCCAGGCUAAACCUGGCGGGGUUAUGCCAGACUGUUUAUCUGGAGUGCGAGAGAGGGGCGUGGAAUUCCGGGUGUAGUGGUGAAAUGCGUAGAGAUCCGGAGGAACCCCAGAGGCGAAGGCGGCGUCCUGGGGUGAGGUUGACGCUCAGACACGAAAGCAUGGGGAGCGAACGGG